UGGGGAAUAUUGGACAAUGGGCGCAAGCCUGAUCCAGCCAUGCCGCGUGUGUGAAGAAGGCCUUAUGGUUGUAAAGCACUUUAAGCGAGGAGGAGGCUACUUUAGUUAAUACCUAGAGAUAGUGGACGUUACUCGCAGAAUAAGCACCGGCUAACUCUGUGCCAGCAGCCGCGGUAAUACAGAGGGUGCAAGCGUUAAUCGGAUUUACUGGGCGUAAAGCGCGCGUAGGCGGCUAAUUAAGUCAAAUGUGAAAUCCCCGAGCUUAACGUGGGAAUUGCAUUCGAUACUGGUUAGCUAGAGUGUGGGAGAGGAUGGUAGAAUUCCAGGUGUAGCGGUGAAAUGCGGAGAGAUCUGGAGGAAUACCGAUGGCGAAGGCAGCCAUCUGGAAUAACACUGACGCUGAGGUGCGAAAGCAUGGGGGGCAAACAGG
rnacentral:rRNA from 1 species